UACAGAGGAUGCAAGCGUUAUCCGGAAUGAUUGGGCGUAAAGCGUCUGUAGGUGGCUUUUUAAGUCCGCCGUCAAAUCCCAGGGCUCAACUCUGGACAGGCGGUGGAAACUACCAAGCUUGAGUACGGUAGGGCAGAGGGAAUUUCCGGUGGAGCGGUGAAAUGCGUAGAGAUCGGAAAGAACACCAACGGCGAAAGCACUCUGCUGGCCGACACUGACACUGAGAGACGAAAGCUAGGGGAGCGAAUGG
rnacentral:rRNA from 1 species